rnacentral:rRNA from 1 species
GAUGAACGCUGGCGGCAUGCCUAAUACAUGCAAGUCGAACGAGAGGAAGGAAAGCUUGCUUUCCUGAAUCUAGUGGCGAACGGGUGAGUAACACGUAGGUAACCUGCCCAUGUGCCCGGGAUAACUUCUGGAAACGGAUGCUAAAACCGGAUAGGUAGCAGACAAGCAUUUGACUGCUAUUAAAGCGGCAUUGGCCAUGAACAUGGAUGGACCUGCGGUGCAUUAGCUAGUUGGUGAGGUAACGGCCCACCAAGGCGACGAUGCAUAGCCGGCCUGAGAGGGCGGACGGCCACAUUGGGACUGAGACACGGCCCAAACUCCUACGGGAGGCAGCAGUAGGGAAUUUUCGUCAAUGGGGGAAACCCUGAACGAGCAAUGCCGCGUGAGUGAGGAAGGUCUUCGGAUCGUAAAGCUCUGUUGUAAGAGAAAAACGGCACUCAUAGGAAAUGAUGAGUGAGUGAUGGUAUCUUACCAGAAAGUCACGGCUAACUACGUGCCAGCAGCCGCGGUAACAC